rnacentral:rRNA from 1 species
UACGUAGGGUCCGAGCGUUGUCCGGAAUUAUUGGGCGUAAAGAGCUCGUAGGCGGUAUGUCGCGUCUGCUGUGAAAGACCGGGGCUUAACUUCGGUUUUGCAGUGGAUACGGGCAUGCUUGAGGUAGGUAGGGGAGACUGGAAUUCCUGGUGUAGCGGUGAAAUGCGCAGAUAUCAGGAGGAACACCGGUGGCGAAGGCGGGUCUCUGGGCCUUACCUGACGCUGAGGAGCGAAAGCAUGGGUGGCCAACAGGAUUAGAUACCCGUGUAGU